rnacentral:rRNA from 1 species
UUAAAUCAUUAAAUUAAAAAGAUUUGGCGGUAUUUUAAAUAAUUAGAGGAACCUGUGUAAUAAUUGAUAAUCCACGAUAAGAUAGACUUAAUUAUUUAUGUAUUGCUGUUUUAAAAUUAUUAUUAAUUAAAUAUUUGUUUUUUUAUUUUAAAAUAAUUCAAGUCAAAAUAUAGUUUUAUUGAGUUAUGGGUUACAAUAAAAUUUUGAAAUUGGAUUUAAUAGUAA